GGAGAGGUGCCGGAGCGGUUGAACGGAGCGGUCUUGAAAACCGCCAGGGGCGCGCAGCUCCUCGUGGGUUCGAAUCCCACCCUCUCCGCCA
rnacentral:tRNA from 1 species